GCCAGUGUGGCUCAGUGGUUGAGCACUGACCAAUAAACCAGGAGGUCAGGGUUCAAUUCCCUGUCAGGGCA
rfam:Myotis brandtii contig164877, whole genome shotgun sequence.